rnacentral:lncRNA from 1 species
UUUUUUUUUUGUAUAAAGUAAUCUUUUCACCAUCUGAUUAUCCCAUUCCCUGGGAUUAAGUUUGUGGUGAAUUUAUUGUAGAGACUUAGUGUUUGCUGCUGUUAUCUAAUUGGGUCAUUAUUCAGUAUGCUGAUGAGGAAAAGCAUUUUUUUUUUUUUGUGAACACUAUGUUCUUCCUCGGCAGCACACUGAAUAAUGAUUCAGUUGGAUAGCAGAAGCUACCCAUCAAAGAAAUAGAACAUUGUGUUUUAAUUUUUUUUUCUGUUAUUGGUCCUUCAAUUUUUUGACGUCUGUUGGCAUGACGCGUACUGAAACCAUGUACUAGGAAUAUUUAUCCAGUAAAAUAUAAUGCUUCAGUUGAAUAAAUUUAUUAUUGUUAAUUUCAACUGGCUUAUUCUUUGGGAACGGUUGACUUGCUUAGGUAAUGAUUGCUUCUGGUUUACAAAGUGACGCCAUUCGCCAAAAUGGCGCAACAGUUCAGGCUCCAUUAACUAUAAAUAUACCGAAUGGCAAACCAUCAUCUAGAGCUUCUUCAGAAAAUUCACAACUGCAAGGGACGAACAUUACAGUUCCAGUUUCCGUUCAAAAACAACCAAAUCGCUCUCGUUGGCAUCUGCCUGCAGUAUGGAUGCAAAUUGGAUCAGCAAGUGGCAAACCAGCCUCUCGAAGAAACGCAUACUGUGGACCGAAGCGGAGGACCUCGAGUUGAUUGCUGCUGUACAGAAAUGUGGUGAAGGGAACUGGGCUAUCUUGAAAGGAGAUUUCAAGGGUGACAGAACUGCUUCGCAGCUAUCUAAGGUUCUUUUUCUGCCCUAUCGACUUCUGCUUCAGAUUUCACUCUCACUCCCCCCCUCCCCCCAUUUUUUCCCCUUUUCUGUCUCUGCUAUGCAUUUUCGUCCCAUGCAUAAUUAACUCAAACAUGCUAUUUAUCUUCAAUUGGUGGUCUGGUUGUUUGAUAUGAAAUGCGUACAUGAAGAUAACUUUUUAUAACCAGUUCACAUAAUUUUUCUUGAAUGAGGCCACUUUUGCUUUUUGUUUCUUUAUUUCGCUCAGUUGUGGGAAAGAUGUGCUCAGUCAUUAAUUGGUUUACGGUUGUCCUGGGAAUCAGCAUUUUCAAGAACAAUAGAAUACGUGACCCAUCCUGGGAAAAUCCUAUAACUUAAUAUUACUUAUCUGCAGUAUGGUCAAAGUGUAAUUAAGGAGGUCCUUGAGUUUCCAGCCAACUCGAUUAGGACCGUUUUGGCACCCAAGUGUAUAUUAGAUCUAGGCAACUCCGCAAGUAUGACUUGAUUAGACAGUGGUUAAGAUAGCCGGACGUCAGUCCUGGUGAGUGUGUCGCUAAACCACUCGGUGCAGAAGAUUAAAAUGACAAUUAGGUUUCUAAAAUACAGAGAAAAAUUAGAAAUUAGAAACUUAAGUCUCUAACUCUGUCUUCUUCAUAUACUUCUAAGUGGGGAUAUGGAGAAUUUGAAACUUUUAUUUUGAUAAUGUCAUCAAUUGCGUGAAGUUAAUAGAAAUAAUUUUUUCAAAUUAUAACAUUAACCUCAAGGGAUGCCACCUAGGCCACCGCCUAAUUCCGUUAAGCCACUUAAUUUCCGCCAGGCGCCACUUAAUUGGAUUGCCGCCUAAUUCACCGUUAGCAACUAAUCGAGGCCGGGCGACUGCCCGCCUAGACCUAGGGGGCCGUAGCCUAGGCCGUUUUUAGAACACUGCAAGGGGCAUUACAUUAGAAUGGAAAUAUGUGUAGGAGGUACCAAUAUAUAGCACAGAAUGAAGCAGAACUUAGAUGUUGUGAUUAAAAGAAACUGGGUUCCUAGGGAAUUGAUGGAGCUCUAUUUUUUAUCUGUUGCUUUCCCCAAAUUAAAUCACACCCAACCACCCAAAACCAAAAAGCUUGAGUUAGUUUGCAAUGCCAAUACUUAAAGUGUAACCUUGAUUUGAAAAAUUGGGACGAUAUCGGAAAAUAACUUGAACAGAAUGAUCACAUACAAGUCAUUUCAAUUGUGUUCACCCUUGAAUUGAAUGCAAAACUGAAUUAGGGGAAAAAUUAAAAAAUUUUUCAAAAUUUUACAUGCUUGCCUAAUCAAGUUUAGAGUAAUUCAAGUCUAAACUUCAAGCAAUUCAGAUUAAAAAAUGAAUUUACAUCUGAAGUAGGAUAAUUAAAAAAUUCAAGUUUAAAACAACUUAAAUUAGCGAGUUCAUGAAACCUGAAGAGUUUGGAAAAAUUGUCGUUUCAUAGCCAGGAGCUCUCUGUGGCUUGGAUCACAUUCAUGAGAUCAUGGGUCUCUGUGCAGAGGUGGGCCAUUAUCAGGAAGAAACAGGGCAACUUGAAUGUGGGAGGUAGCUCACAGCUUUCUGAUGAUCAGCUAGCGACUCGCCAUGCUGUUUCCCUGGCCCUUAACAUGCCAAUGGUGGACAACUUGACGACUGCAUGUUCAACUGGUACUGGUGAUUCUCUGUGCAUCUAGUAUUAGCUCUAGUGUAUUAAAGUGUUUGAGGUGUUUGAGCUGGUAAGAACUAAUCCAUAUCCUAAUUGCCAAAAACAAGAGAUUUUAAAUAGUAAAAUGAAUGAAAUAUUAAAAUUUAGAAAGUUGUCCAAAAUGACCUGACAAAUUCCUCUAGAUGUCUGGCCAAAAACUGGGGCACUGCUGUAUCAUGCAUAUUAUUUUUGCCAAGGGCAUCUAAAUGCAUAGUAAACUAAGCCCGGUGCUGAUGAAUUGGUUUUCUUGUCUUUCCUUUCGUUGAUUUUUACCUGUGACCAUUGUGUGCGCUUUGAAUUAACCUUCUUAAUAUGGUAUAUUGAUUGGACCAUCUUGACUACUUGAUUAGGGAAGUUGUUUUUCCAUAAUUUAGCUGUCAUAUAAUAGGUUGCUGCAGGAGGUGUGUAUAGUAUUACAUGCAGUCUGCACAGUAGGUUAUGACCAACUAAUUCAAGAGUGUCUGUUAGGAAUCUUUUGUGACGCGGAUGGAUACAGAUGGGAAACAUAUUUCAUGUUAUUAAAAAGUGGACGUGGAAAACAGACCAUCAAUUAAGAUGCUUCUGACAUGACAGAGGCACACCGAGGAAAAUAAAUGGAGACUAUAAUAUUGACUCUAUAUCACUCUCGUGCGAAAUGUAUACUCACUGCAUCUAUUGAGUCCCCUUAAUGGCAAGGUUCUAAAAAAUUCGCGAGGCGGUAAUCGGGCGGCCGGAGGGGCCUAGCGCCUAGGCGGAUAGGCGGCGCCUAGGCGGGGCCUAGGCGGUUUUUAUUAGUAUUAUUUAUUUAGUGAUUUAAAUCAUUAAAUAUUUAUUAAACUAAUAAUAAAUGACAAAUAUCAAAUAGUAAAAUAAAUGUUUAAUAUUGAAUAAUACCAAAGAGGAAGAUAGAAAACGACAAUUUAGAUCUCUAAAAUAAUAAAAAUAGAAACUAGAUCUCUAAAAGCACUAGGCGUUAAGCGGGCGGGCGGAGGGGCCAGUGCUAGGCGGGGGCCUAGGCAUCCUAGGCGGCCGGGGGGGGCCUAGGCCAGGCGGAUUUUAGAACAGAUUAAAUCUGAGCUUUUACUAUUUUUUAUAUGGACCUGUAUUUUUUAUUUUUUUGCCUUGAUUACAGAUUAUACAACCUCCUCUCAGAUUGUCAACAUUCCCUCUGUGGCUGACUUGUGCCAGCAUUGUCUGUCCUCCGUAAGGCAGAGGAACGUUCCUCUGUCAAAAACAUAAACAAGUUGAGACAUUUCGCCUUGUGAGAGAGGUUUAGGAAUCUGAAAGUUAUCGUAAGCUAACUAUGAUGCCGAGUUCCGAUUUUUAAGUAGUUCCAGUAAAAAUGACUUCCUUUUUGUUGUUUCCUGCAACAAGGUUGGUUAAAUUGUGCCUUGUGCAAUGAUGUAGAAAACUCUCCCAAACUUAAAAUCCUCAGUGUGAUAGGUUCUUGGUGAGGGUUUAGGGAAAUUUCAUGUGUGUCCCCUUACUAUGUUUUGCUCACUGGAAUUAUCGGUCAUAUGUAAACAGCUGGUACGAAUCCCAACCUUACACCCGGUAACUCGAUACGGUCUGAUGUGGGAGGAAGCUCAACAGUGAGUGCUCUUUCCCAACAUCAGCCUCAACAUGAUUUUGCCCCUUCAACUUCGUCAAAAUCUCGGGUAACCGUAAGGAAAAAACCAUCCCGGAAAGCUUGAUCUGAGCCCCAGAUGCAAUGGUCAAAGCCACUGCAGCGCUGCCGGUGCCCGCAUUGCCACGCCAUCUGACGCUGGUCGUUUUGCUUAAAGCUGCACAGUCAAAGAAUUGCUGUCCGAUCAUUCCUGGAGGUGGUUCUCUAAUAAAUCUCUGUGGCGGGCAAUUCCAGUGCAUUGCCUCAAAAUGUUCACUUCAUCGUACGGGCCUGUGGGUUCCACAAUCGUCCACCAUUCUACCGACUCCGAAUAGUGUCUCGCGCCCUGGUGGAGCUCAAUCUGGACAGAACACUCCAAAACCGGUCGCUACAGACAACU